GUUGAUUUAAAUUGGUUUAAACUUUUAUAAUUCAAGAAAUUUUAUUUUAACUAUUAGUUCUUCAAAGUUUUUAGAUUGAAAAGUUUAUGAAAAUUGGGGUGUUACAGCUUUUCUCGUCGCCAGCAGUGCAACUUUUGUCUAUAUAGUCCAAAUAUGUGAGACACUGCAUUUCACAACACAUAGCUCACAUACAUUACACGAGAAAGUAG
rnacentral:lncRNA from 1 species